AACGAACGCUGGCGGCAUGCCUAACACAUGCAAGUCGAACGAGACCGCCGGGUUUAGUGGCGCACGGGUGGGUAAACCGUGGGGACCUGCCCUUGGGUUCGGCAUAACUCCCCGAAAGGGGUGCUAAUAGCGGAUAAUAUCUUCCAACCAAAGAUUUUGUGCAUUUGGUUGGGCCCGCGUUGGAUUGGGUUGUUGGUAGGGUAAAAGCGUACCAAGGGGUCGAUCGGUAGCUGGUUUGAGAGGAUGAUCACCCACACUGGGGUGGAGACACGGCCCAGACUCCUACGCGAGGGAGCAGUGGGGAAUAUUGGACAGUGGGCGAAAGCCUGAUCGAGCAAUGCUGGGUAAGUGCUGAAGGCCUUAGGGUUGUAAAGCUCUUUUACCCGGGAUGAUAAUGACAGUACCGGGAGAAUAAGCUCCGGCUAACUCCGUG
rnacentral:rRNA from 1 species